rnacentral:rRNA from 1 species
UCCUCCCUCUUUCUUCGUGCUUAACACAUGCAAGUCGAACGGAAAGGCCCUGCUUGCAGGGUACUCGAGUGGCGAACGGGUGAGUAACACGUGGGUGAUCUGCCCUGCACUUCGGGAUAAGCCUGGGAAGCUGGGUCUAAUACCGGAUAGGAGCCAUUUUUAGUGUGAUGGUUGGAAAGUUUUUUCGGUGUAGGAUGAGCUCGCGGCCUAUCAGCUUGUUGGUAGGGUAAUGGCCUACCAAGGCGGCGACGGGUAGCCGGCCUGAGAGGGUGGACGGCCACAUUGGGACUGAGAUACGGCCCAGACUCCUACGGGAGGCAGCAGUGGGGAAUAUUGCACAAUGGGCGCAAGCCUGAUGCAGCGACGCCGCGUGGGGGAUGACGGCCUUCGGGUUGUAAACUCCUUUCGCUAGGGACGAAGCUUUUUGUGACGGUACCUAGAUAAGAAGCACCGGCUAACUACGUG